rnacentral:rRNA from 1 species
AACGAACGCUGGCGGCAUGCCUAACACAUGCAAGUCGAACGAGACCUUCGGGUCUAGUUGCGCACGGGUGCGUCACGCGUGGGAACCUGCCUUUAGGUUCGGAAUAACUCCGAGAAAUUUGAGCUAAUACCGGAUGAUGUCUUCGGACUAAAGAUUUAUCGCCUUUAGAUGGGCCGGCGUUGGAUUAGCUAGUUGGUGGGGUAAAGGCCUACCAAGGCGACGAUCCAUAGCUGGUCUGAGAGGAUGAUCAGCCACACUGGGACUGAGACUCGGCGCAGACUCCUACGGGAGGCAGCAGUGGGGAAUAUUGGACAAUGGGCGAAAGCCUGAUCCAGCAAUGCCGCGUGAGUGAUGAAGGCCUUAGGGUGGUAAAGCUCUUUUACCCGAGAUGAUAAUGACAGUAUCGGGAGAAUAAGCUCCGGCUAACUCCGUG